UACGUAGGCAGCAAGCGUUGUUCGGAGUUACUGGGCGUAAAGGGUGUGUAGGCGGUUCUUUUAAGUUUGGUGUGAAAUCUCCCGGCUCAACCGGGAGGGUGCGCCGAAUACUGAGGGACUAGAGUGCGGGAGAGGAAAGUGGAAUUCCUGGUGUAGCGGUGAAAUGCGUAGAUAUCAGGAGGAACACCGGUUGGUGUAGACGGCAUUUC
rnacentral:rRNA from 1 species